rnacentral:rRNA from 1 species
AUUGAACGCUGGCGGCAGGCCUAACACAUGCAAGUCGAACGAGUGGCGGACGGGUGAGUAAUGUCUGGGAAACUGCCUGAUGGAGGGGGAUAACUACUGGAAACGGUAGGUAAUACCGCAUACCAGCGGAUGAGCCAAGAUGGGAUUUGCUAGGAGGAGGGGUAACGGCUCACCUAGGCGAGGAUCCCUAGCUGGUCUGAGAGGAUGACCAGCCACACUGGAACUGAGACACGUUCCAUACUCCUACUGGAGUCAGCAGUGGGGAAUAUUGCACAAUGGGCGCAAGCCUGAUGCAGCCAUGCCGCGUGUAUGAAGAAGGCCUUCGGGUUGUAAAGUACUUUCAGCGGUGAUGCGUUACCCGCAGAAGAAGCACCGGCUAACUCCGUGCCAGCAGCCGCGGUAAUUC